rnacentral:rRNA from 1 species
GGCAGCAGUGGGGAAUUUUCCGCAAUGGGCGAAAGCCUGACGGAGCAAUACCGCGUGAGGGACGAAGGCUUUUGGGUCGUAAACCUCUUUUCCCUGAGAAGAAGAUCUGACGGUAUCAGGGGAAUAAGCAUCGGCUAACUUCGUGCCAGCAGCCGCGGUAAUACGAGGGAUGCAAGCGUUAUCCGGAAUUAUUGGGCGUAAAGCGUCCGCAGGUGGCUCUGUAAGUCUGUCGUUAAAGAAUGGGGCUCAACCCCAUACAGGCGAUGGAAACUACAAGGCUAGAGUUUGGUAGGGGUCACGGGAAUUCCUAGUGUAGCGGUGAAAUGCGUAGAUAUUAGGAAGAACACCAGCGGCGAAAGCGCGUGACUGGGCCAGUACUGACACUCAUGGACGAAAGCUAGGGGAGCGAAAGGGAUUAGAUACCCCUGUAGUCCUAGCCGUAAACGAUGAUAACUAGGUGUUGCCCGUAUCGACCCGGGCAGUGCCGUAGCCAACGCGUUAAGUUAUCCGCCUGGGGAGUACGCACGCAAGUGUGAAACUCAAAGGAAUUGACGGGGGCCCGCACAAGCGGUGGAGUAUGUGGUUUAAUUCGAUGCAACGCGAAGAACCUUACCAAGGCUUGACAUGUCGCGAAUUCCCUUGAAAGGGGGAAGUGCCUUCGGGAGCGCGAACACAGGUGGUGCAUGGCUGUCGUC